ACCCAUCCCGGGAUAUUUAGGGUUUCGAUUUAAUUUUGAGGUUCGGGGCUUAAUUCGUAUUUGUUAGAUUCUAUGAGGGGCCUUGGUGUGAUUUACAUGGAGAAUUGUUAUUGGUUUGGAGUAUAAGUUGAGAGGAGAGGUGACCACAUGGGAUUUCUUCCUAAGUGUCUAAAUAGCCAUCAGGAGGAUAUUUCCUCAUUCUCCCCAAUUCUGCCGACAUAGCGAGAGAGAGAGGGGGAGAGAAAGGGUGGAGGAGGUCACGGCUAAGGGGAGGGAGGAAGGAGAGAUCCGUUUUCGGUGAUCCAACUCGGUAACGAGUAACAAGCCGGUCUUUUAGGAGGUGCCAAAACCAUAAGUUUGGCAUACUCCAGUCGAAUGAAAGGUAGCAGGUGGCUUAGAGUGGGUCCACUACUGGUCAACGCUUUGGAGAGUGCUGAGACUAGCGUCAGGUGAUGCCUUUGGUUAGAUUGUUGCGUAGCUGAUUCGUCUAGAAGCUAACCUAAAUGUUAUGUAAUUAAUUGGAGAUAGGGAUAUUUAUUAUAACUUGUGAGUUGAGGUUUUGGCGUUGACUUGGUUGUAUUUUAAGUGAGAAGUCUUCCGCUAA